GACGAACGCUGGCGGCGUGCUUAACACAUGCAAGUCGAACGGAAAGGCCCUGCUUUUGUGGGGUGCUCGAGUGGCGAACGGGUGAGUAACACGUGAGUAACCUGCCCUUGACUUUGGGAUAACUUCAGGAAACUGGGGCUAAUACCGGAUAGGAGCUCCUGCUGCAUGGUGGGGGUUGGAAAGUUUCGGCGGGUGGGGAUGGACUGGGGGCUUAUCAGCUUGUUGGUGGGGUAGUGGCUUACCAAGGCUUUGACGGGUAGCCGGCCUGAGAGGGUGACCGGCCACAUUGGGCCUGAGAUACGGCCCAGACUCAUACGGGAGGCAGCAGUGGGGAAUAUUGCACAAUGGGCGGAAGCCUGAUGCAGCAACGCCGCGUGCGGGAUGACGGCCUUCGGGUUGUAAACCGCUUUCGCCUGUGACGAAGCGUGAGUGACGGUAAUGGGUAAAGAAGCACCGGCUAACUACGUG
rnacentral:rRNA from 1 species